rnacentral:misc_RNA from 1 species
GGGAAUUGUAAGGGGCAUGAGACAUGAGGUGGUCGGUGAUCAGAAAACUGGUGCCCUGAUUUCGCACUUUGGGUUCGGACAGAUGACUGAGAGACAGUUUCAGAAUUAGGCAUCAUUUUCAUUUCUGCUGUUUCUUUGAGGAUGCCAGCAUCACACUGUUGCAAAAUAUGAGAUCUACUUAAAUAUUGCUUUUGAAAAAUGGUGGACCUCAGUCUCACUCACCUUAACAAGUGUCACUCAACCAGCGUAGUAUGAUAGUAUCAAAUUGAAAUGGAAUUGAUUUGCAACACUUGUCUCCCUUCAGUCUUUCUCAAUCUUGAAAUUGGUUUGGUUUGAGUCAUUUGCAGGUAGUUCGUAUCUAAAAGGUCGCCCCACCAUGCAAUGAAGGAUGAAUUCUUAUGAGCAAGAGUCAUCAGUAUCAGAUCACUCAUCAAACAGUGAUGAGUGCAUCUUUGUGGAGACUUCUUUUCCAACAAACUCAGCUGACGAGAGUUCAACUGAGCUAAACCACAGCUCUAACGAGUCUCCCAGCAGGCUGGACCGUGCAGAGAGCUACCACAGCCCCGACACUCACACUGGUGAGGAGCCGCGGCGGCCGCUCGACUCCGAGUGCUGCGGCAGCGGCUGUUCACCAUGCGUGUUCGACCUGUACGACCGAGACCUGGCUGCGUGGCGGCGGCGGCGGCUACGGCAGCCCGAACUGGCCACCACCAGCGCCAGCCCGCUCCAACCAGACCGCUUCACGGCCCUGACGCUGACGUCCAUCACGGCUCUGUCAGACUCGGCCAGUCUGUACCGGUUCGCGCUGCCAGCAGGGACGUCCCUCUGUCUGCCGCCGGGCGGCCACCUUCGUCUUCGUGGCGACGACGCCGGGCGCAGCGUCACGCGCGCCUACACACCCGUCUCUCCGCCUGACGCUCAGGGCUACUUCGAGGUGUACAUCCGUCUGUAUCCGUCCGGCGCCAUGUCGAGCUGCGUGCGCCACUGGCGGGUGGGCCAGCCGGCGCUGUGGAGCGGGCCGUUUGGCGAAUACCGGCCGCGGUCGGCCGACCGGCGACUGGUGCUGCUCGCCGCCGGCACCGGUGUGGCGCCGUUCGUCAACCUGGUCCGGGCGGCAGUGGAGGACGAGGACUCGGAGACGCGACUGACGCUGCUGCUGGCUGUGCGGCGUCUCCAGGACGUGUUCCCGCGGGACCAGCUGGCACAGUGGGCCAGCUACUGGAACUUCACCUACCAGCUGUUUGUCAGCGGAGCCGGGGAGGGAACGGACGGCGCCGAGCCCCGCUACGGAGAGCCCGUACGGUGGCGCCGCCUACAGGAGCGGGACGUGCGAGAGGUGGCGCUUCAGUCGGCCGCAGGGUCAACGCGCUAUCUGGUGUGCGGUACACGGUCAUUCGAGAAGGAUGUGCUCAAUUAUUUGCAACGUGCGGGGGUAUGUGAUGAUGAUGUGUUCCGAUUUUGAAUCUACCAGGGGUUUGUGGGAAUUCGUUGCCCGUUACACACUGUGAGUUGAGCCUUGAGGGCACUGUCUGUAUUGGACGUUAGGAAAGUGUGAGGUGUGAAAUGUGAUAUUUAGUGGAUUUUAGUGGCACCCGUUCCGUCGUUUCCAUCCUCAAGAUAUUCAAAUCCUUCUCCUCCACGCCGCAACCCCUUCUCCGGGCUGGACAGGCAACUUUAUUCCAUGUGGGCUCUCCCAUUGGAGCGCACCUCAGCUCCUAAGGGCGGCCGCGUAGUCUGUCUGCACCAGACUAUCUCCCGUAGUCUGGUGCAGUGAGUGCUUUGGGGCUGGUCGGCCUCUCCUAUCGGAUGCCCGGCGACUCACUAGGGUGCGUGCCCAGACCAAUGUCACUCCCUAAUUCCUAGCAUCCUCUUGGCUCUGCAAUGGUCUCAUUGGACCGAAAGAGACUAGCUCAACAAAACAAAACAAAGUUGUAACGGCGGUGCCGAUCGUUUGGGUAUGUCCCUGAUGUGUUUUUUGUUCGAUGUACUUCCAAAGAAUAACCGCCGCGCAUCUGUUUCAUGUGACUAACUGACUGUCAUAAUGAUGUAACUAGUAACUCGGUAACUACGCUAACCGUAAAUUAUUUGCUUUAGCAAGCCAAAUGCGGUGUUGCCAACUGUGUUGGUUUCUAUUCUAUGGAACUCAAGUUGUCAUAUGAUGCUUGUCCUUACAUGUGCCGUACCAACCAUGAACCAUGUAAUUGCUCACUUUGUUAUGUAAGAUUUCAUUAUCCCUACCUCAUGACUCAAAUACGUGAGAAGUGCAAUACAAACAAUACGAUCUUAA